GAAAAGAAAAUAACAAUGAUUUCCCUAGUAACGGCGAGUGAAGAGGAAAGAGCUCAAAGUUGGAACCUGUUUGGCCUAGCUAAACAGGAUUGUAAACUGUAGAAGUGUUUUCCAGGCAAUCCGAGUUAAUAAGUCCUUUGGAACAGGGCAUCAUAGAGGGUGAGAAUCCCGUCUUUGAUUCGAGAUAUUUUGUCUUUUGCGAUACACUUUCAAAGAGUCAGGUUGUUUGGGAAUGCAGCCUAAAUUGGGUGGUAAAUCUCACCUAAAGCUAAAUAUUGGCGAGAAACCGAUAGCGAACAAGUACCGUGAGGGAAAGAUGAAAAGAACUUUGAAAAGAGAGUUAAACAGUAUGUGAAAUUGUUAAAAGGGAACCGUUUGGAGCCAGACUGGCUUGUCUGUAAUCAAUCUAGGUUUCGUGCCUGGAUGCACUUGCAGACUAUUUGCCUGCCAACGACAAUUUUUUUUGAGUGUAAAAACUAUUGGAAAUGUGGCCAAUAUUUAUUUAUUGGUGUUAUAGUCCUUUAGAAAAUACCUUGAAUUGGAUUGAGGAACGCAGCGAAUGCUUCUCUUUUGAGGCAAAGUCUUUUAUUGGGAUUUACGGAUCAGACUGUGGCAUUGUCACAAGACUUGAAGUUUAAACCUAUUUUUGAACUUUUAUUCGCUUAGGUUGUUGGCUUAAUGACUCUAAAU
rnacentral:rRNA from 1 species